CCUUGUUAUUGAUGAGCUCACAAUUCACGCUAUAUCAUUGAGACCUAAUGCCACCAUGGUGGUGCCGUCGGAUUGGAUGACUGCAGAAAAUUGGUUCAAAGUGUCCGAGGCACGUCAAAUCAACCCAGUGCUAUAUUCCACAUUUUCUCCUUCCUUCAACCAGUUCUCUUUCUUGUUCCAACAACACCUCCCCCCUCUCUCUUCUAAUUUGUGUCUUGCAUUGUAUCGAAGUCUCUUGUUUGUCAUAGUCAAGUUGCAUUUCAUAUCAUUCACUGUUUUCGUGUAUACUCAUUAUGUGGGGUUGGGAUUCAUCACCCACAUACUCAUUACAUCCUGC
rnacentral:lncRNA from 1 species